ensembl:misc_RNA
UUGAGAAAAAGUGGUCAAGCACUUCUCUCCCCGCCAAACUAUUUCUUCCCCAGGGCACUAUUUCCCAAUUAUCCUUUCCUGCCAUCAUCACCUCUUCUGUCUGGGCUCAUCAACAUUUCAGCCAAGUUCCUGUGCUGCAAAGUCACUGGGAAAAUCAGGACCCCACACCAAGACGAUCAUCUCCCAAACACACAAAA